AUCAAUAAGCGGAGGAAGAUUCCGUAGGUGAACCUGCGGAUAUGCAUGUCAAUACGCGGAGGAAGUUUCCGAACGCGCUUGUGUAUUAUUGCCCUCUCAGACAAAAAAAACAAAUAUGUUAAAACUUUCAACAACGGAUCUCUUGGUUCUGGCAUCGAUGAAGAACGCAGCGAAAUGCGAUAAGUAAUGUGAAUUGCAGAAUUCAGUGAAUCAUCGAAUCUUUGAACGCACAUUGCGCCCGCCAGUACUCUGGCGGCCAUGCCUGUUCGAGCGUCAUUUCAACCCUCAAGCCCUGCUUGGAGUUGGGGUCCUACGGCUGCCGUAGGCCCUGAAAGCUAGUGGCGGGUUCGUUAUAACUCCGAGCGAAGUAGUAAAAUAUCUCGCUAGGCAGUUGUCGCUGUUUCCGGCCGUGAAAGCCCAUCUUUUACACAAGGUUGACCUCGGAACAGGUAGGAAUACCCGCUGAACUUAAGCAUAUCAAUAAGCCGGA
rnacentral:rRNA from 1 species